rnacentral:lncRNA from 1 species
CUGAGAAAGAACGACAGGAACAGAGACGUCGCGAGGAUUAAGUUUAAGACUUCGCGAGAACAGAAUUUCUUUUGGCACCUCCUCUCCGCGCGUUCUUGGGAGUCUCUGUUGCCCAGGCUGGAAUGCAAUGGUGCGAUCUCAGUCACUACAACCUCUGCCUCCCGGGUUCAAGCGAUUAUCCUGCUUCAGCCUCCCGAGUAGCUGGAAUUACAGGGUUGAAAGGAGGAGCAGGAGGUACUGAUGGACAAGGAGGUACCUUCCGGUACACCUUUCAUGGCGAUCCUCAUGCUACAUUUGCUGCAUUUUUCGGAGGGUCCAACCCCUUUGAAAUUUUCUUUGGAAGACGAAUGGGUGGUGGUAGAGAUUCUGAAGAAAUGGAAAUAGAUGGUGAUCCUUUUAGUGCCUUUGGUUUCAGCAUGAAUGGAUAUCCAAGAGACAGGAAUUCUGUGGGGCCAUCCCGCCUCAAACAAGAUCCUCCAGUUAUUCAUGAACUUAGAGUAUCACUUGAAGAGAUAUAUAGUGGUUGUACCAAACGGAUGAAGAUUUCUCGAAAAAGGCUAAACGCUGAUGGAAGGAGUUACAGAUCUGAGGACAAAAUUCUUACCAUUGAGAUUAAAAAAGGGUGGAAAGAAGGCACCAAAAUUACUUUUCCAAGAGAAGGAGAUGAAACACCAAAUAGUAUUCCAGCAGACAUUGUUUUUAUCAUUAAAGACAAAGAUCAUCCAAAAUUUAAAAGGGAUGGAUCAAAUAUAAUUUAUACUGCUAAAAUUAGUUUACGAGAGGCAUUGUGUGGCUGCUCAAUUAAUGUACCAACACUGGAUGGAAGAAACAUACCUAUGUCAGUAAAUGAUAUUGUGAAACCCGGAAUGAGGAGAAGAAUUAUUGGAUAUGGGCUGCCAUUUCCAAAAAAUCCUGACCAACGUGGUGACCUUCUAAUAGAAUUUGAGGUGUCCUUCCCAGAUACUAUAUCUUCUUCAUCCAAAGAAGUACUUAGGAAACAUCUUCCUGCCUCAUAGAAUGAAGAACUUUGUUACACAUAUUUUGAUAAGGCACUGAAAAUAUAAAAGGACUGGUAGUUUACUGAUGUAGAUGUGAAUUCUGUAUAAAGAUGUGUAAAUUCUUUUGAGGGUUCAUUAAAUUGCAUGAAUAGAGACGGGUCAAAUAAAUAGGCAAAAGGGAUUUUUACAGUUAGAGAUAAAAGAGAAAACCAUUCACUGUAUUUUAUUUCAUUUCUCCUGAUUCAGAUAUUUUUAGUAAUUUGCUUAUAUGUAAAAGUUGUUUUUGUGGAGUCAGUGGAUAUAUUUCUAAUGAAGUGCUAGACUAUCCAAUUACUUAAUUUCUUAUACCUUUAGAUAAUCAGUAUGAAAAGUUCCCAUUUAUAAUGGAAAUGAAAAUUCUUAACUAAACUAUACAUGUAAUAUGUAUUUCUAGAAGAGAAUAAAAACCCAAGUCAGUUAUUAGAUUUAAAUCACCUUCUGAAAUGCUGCUAUAGGGCUGGUAUCUGUAAAAGAAUAUCCUGAUGCAUCUGUUUCACCAUUUUGAUUUUUAAAGUAUGCUGUAGCAUUUCUUAAUAACAUCGUUGUGAUGUUCUUAAGGCAGAUCUUUCUUCAUAAAAAGGAAAGUAAUGGCAAUUUCUCUCCUGUGGAAAUCCCAAUUGCUUGAAUUACUGAUAUUUUAGAAUAGACUUUUUAAAAUGCCAUAUGUAAUUUUAUGCAAGUUGACUAUAUAUCUUGUACUUAAUAAAUUAUAGGCUCAUUUUGUUCUCUGCUAGUUUAAAGUAAUUCGUUUAAUAAUAGAUGUGUUUUUAGAGGAAAUGCUGUUACUUGGAAUUAAUUUUCCAGUUAUACAGUCUUCUAUAACUUACUAAUAAUAUUCUAUAUGUACUUUAUGUAAUUUCCCUAAAAAGAAUGAACUACCACUACACUAUGGUGUUAAACCAAAAUAUAGGGAAAAUAAACACUAACUGCUGCUUAUGGAUAAUGUUGCAACUACUUGUUAUGCAUAUAAAUAUUUUACUUUUUCA